rnacentral:rRNA from 1 species
GCCAAUACUAGCCCUAAGCAUAACCAACACUAAUACCAAACCAACAUACACUAAACCAUUCACCUACACAAAGUAUAGGCGAUAGAAAUUUUAAUCUGGCGCUAUAGACAUAGUACCGUAAGGGAAAGAUAGAAAACCACCCAAGCACAAAACAGCAAAGACUAACUCCUGUACCUUUCGCAUAAUGAAUUAGCUAGAAACAAUUUUACGAAGAGGACUACAAGCCAAAUCCCCCGAAACCAGACGAGCUACCCAAAAACAGCUAAAAGAGCGCACCCGCCUAUGUGGCAAAAUAGUGGGAAGAUUUCUGGGUAGAGGUGACAAGCCUACCGAGCCUGGUGAUAGCUGGUUAUCCAAGACAGAAUCUUAGUUCAACCUUAAGCUUACCUACAGAACUACCUAAUCCCCCUGUAAGCUUAACUGCUAGUCUAAAGAGGGACAGCUCUUUAGACACUAGGAAAAAACCUUAUGGAGAGAGUAAAACCCUCAAUCACCAUAGUUGGCUUAAAAGCAGCCAUCAAUUAAGAAAGCGUUCAAGCUCAACACUAACCACCACAAAAAUACCAAACACAUAACUGAACUCCUCACACCACAUUGGAUUAAUCUAUCACCAUAUAGAAGCAAUAAUGCUAGUAUAAGUAACAUGAAUAUUUUCUCCACCGCAUAAGCCUAAAUCGGACCGAAAGCCUCACCGAUAUUUAACAGCCAGGCAUAACAAGCACAAACAAGCCCAUGCCACCUUCACUGUUAACCCAACACAGGCAUGCCCCAAGGAAAGGUUAAAAAAAGUAAAAGGAACUCGGCAAACCCAAACCCCGCCUGUUUACCAAAAACAUCACCUCUAGCAUUACUAGUAUUAGAGGCACUGCCUGCCCAGUGACACACGUUUAACGGCCG